rnacentral:lncRNA from 10 species
CUCGGGAGCCCCCGGUGACUGUCACAGCCUCUUGCCCUGUGAUCUGCAGGUUCUGGGAGACGCACAGCUAAGAUGCCAGGACAUCCUGGAAGCUGGGAAAAGAUGGAGUUUCACUCUUGUUGCCCAGGCUGGAGUGCAUUAUCCCAAUCUCGGCUUACUACAACCUCCGCCUCCCAGGUUCAAGUGAUUCUCCUACCUCAGCCUCCUGAGUAGCUGGGAUUACAAGCACCUGCCACCACACCCGGCUAAUUUUUUGUAUUUUUAGUAGAGAUGGGGUUUCAUCAUGUUGGCCAGGCUGGUCUCGAACUCCUGACCUCAGGCGAUCCACCCACUUCCCAAAGUGCAGGGAUUACAGGUGUGAGCCACCACGCCCGGCCUCUCAACCUAUCAACCUAAUUUUUAUUCUUAGUAGACACGUUGGUGGUGAGCCAAUCAGAUGUUGUUAUUGAUGAGAAAAAGCAGAAAUGAUUUCUGUUGAUUCUUGAAAUAAAAUUUUUUCCAAAGGACAAGAAGCUCCCAUCCCAGUAAGGCAAUGCAAGAACCUGAAGCAAAAUGCACCUGAGGCUUACAGUGGGGUUCUGACAACAAAGGAGAUUGUGACAUAUUGCUGGGCCUAACACUAAGGUGAUGUUAGUUAUUUGCUUUGGCUGUGCCCUUGGAAGGCAUUGAGACAUACUGCUGUGCCCAGCACCAAGAUGAUGUAACGUGACUCUUCUGCUUCAGGCCUGCCAAAAGAAAAGAUUGUGACAGAUCACUGGACCCAGCACCUAGGUGAUAUGACUCUCCUCAUUUGCCUGAGACCUGC